rnacentral:snRNA from 1 species
AUACUUACCUGGCUGGGGAGAUGCCAAGAUCACGAAGGCGGUUUUCCCAGGGCAAGGCUUAUCCAUUGCACUCCGGAUGAGCUGACCCCUGCGAUUUCCCCAAAUGUGGGAAACUUGACUGCAUAAUUUGUGGUAGUCUCCAGAUGGAUU